GACGGAGGGGGCUAGCGUUGUUCGGAAUUACUGGGCGUAAAGGGCGCGUAGGCGGCCAAUCAAGUUAGGCGUGAAAUCCCUGGGCUUAACCCAGGAACUGCGUUUAAUACUGGUUGGCUAGAGAUUGGUAGAGGAAAGUGGAAUUCCUAGUGUAGAGGUGAAAUUCGUAGAUAUUAGGAAGAACACCAGAGGCGAAGGCGGCUUUCUGGGCCAAUACUGACGCUGAGGCGCGAAAGCGUGGGGAGCAAACAGG
rnacentral:rRNA from 1 species